UACGGAGGGGGCUAGCGUUGUUCGGAAUUACUGGGCGUAAAGCGCGCGUAGGUGGUUUGUUAAGUUGAAUGUGAAAUCCCCGGGCUCAACCUGGGAACUGCAUCCAAAACUGGCAAGCUAGAGUAGGGCAGAGGGUGGUGGAAUUUCCUGUGUAGCGGUGAAAUGCGUAGAUAUAGGAAGGAACACCAGUGGCGAAGGCGACCACCUGGGCUCAUACUGACACUGAGGUGCGAAAGCGUGGGGAGCAAACAGG
rnacentral:rRNA from 1 species